UAGUGCUUAAACUGCAGCUUCUUGUGUCUGAGUCUCUCUCCCUGACAGUAACAAGCCUUGCAAGUGAUGCUACCCUGCCACAUAUAGAUUAAAAUGUAACCAUUAUUAUUUGAGGAUCAGUAGCUUUCUAUUUAACUGGUACAUUCUCAGAUUAAAUUCACUUAAAGAUGAAUGUUUUCCAAUGUGGAGCAGAAGAGACUUGAUAUUACUGGGCUCAGCUUUGUCAGUUAUCAGCCGGAGAGGCAGUGACUGCUGUCUUUUUCGUGUGCUGGAAAGCAAUGCAGCUGCACAAUGGGCUUCCAGAACUCAACACACCCUUGUACAUCCUGGUAAACUGACUGAAAAUGAGGACAGACCAAAAGAAGAUCUGCUGGAAGAGAACCCUGAAUAUAUUAUCUGGAGUUGAGGAUGAAGAGGCUUUGUGCGUUUGCCAGUAUGGGAUUAGAACAUCACCACCCUAUACUGUAUAGUAUCAGAGAUGUCCCCAUACAUAGAGAAGAAGGAAUUAAAAUGACCAAUUUACCCUGGCCAGAAUGUUGACCCUUAUUGUAAUUUAAAAAAAUCACAUUUCCACUUCACAACCCCAAAGAGCUGCCUGGCGGGACAGGAUUGCUGUAUUGUUUUGCGUUCCACAGUAAAACGUUUUCUGAUCCACUUCAGCAUAUGAAAAUAAAAUCAUACUCAUUUCGGGAGCGUGUCAGAUUCUUGUUCAAACGGAAAAAUAAAUCUUUGCAAAUUACAAAGUCAAAACAUUUCUCAGAGCAGAGGGUGGAUUUGUUGACAUUUAUCCCUCAUCGAUGUUGAGAACUGGCAGGUGUGGCUAAUCCCAUCAGGAGGAGUAAUAAACCUCUUGCUCAUGGCAGUUGGGUAGACUCCACUCCACCAAUUCAACACUCCCAGUCAUGCCUGUCAAUAUCAUGCCAAGCCACUGCUCAAAGAUUGUCCUAGCAGGAGCUUACAAUAACAUAAAUACUGUACAACACUGUGUGGCCACUUUAUUAGGACCUGUCUACCUGGUAGGAUUUGGCAUUGCCCUAGCGUUGCCACCUUUUGGUCCUCUAAAGUAUGGA